rnacentral:rRNA from 1 species
UACGAAGGGGGCUAGCGUUGCUCGGAAUCACUGGGCGUAAAGCGCACGUAGGCGGGUUCUUAAGUCAGAGGUGAAAUCCUGGAGCUCAACUCCAGAACUGCCUUUGAUACUGAGAGUCUUGAGUUCGGGAGAGGUGAGUGGAACUGCGAGUGUAGAGGUGAAAUUCGUAGAUAUUCGCAAGAACACCAGUGGCGAAGGCGGCUCACUGGCCCGAUACUGACGCUGAGGCACGAAAGCGUGGGGAGCAAACAGG